UCAUGCUAGUCGAACAAAUCCUAUAAGCGAUAGUAAUACGCCCUGGGGGGAAGUGGCGAAAGGGGCAGUAAGGCAUGGGUAACCUACCCCGGGGACCGGGAUAGCCGCCCUAACGGGCGGGUAAUACCGGGCGACGUAGCGAGGGCGCCUGCCCUGGCUACCAAAGGAGUUUCGCCCCGGGCGGGGCUCAUGUGAUAUUAGCUGGUUGGUGGGGUGACGGCCCACCAAGGCGAAGAUGUCUAGCGGGUGUGCGAGCACGACCCGCGCCACUGGCACUGAGACACUGGCCAGACUCCUACGGGAGGCUGCAGUCGAGGAUCUUCGGCAAUGGGCGCAAGCCUGACCGAGCGACGCCGCGUGCGCGACGAAGGCCUUCGGGUUGUAAAGCGCUGUCGUGGGGGAGGAAAGCCGCGCGAGCGGUCUGACCUAUCCCAGGAGGAAGCACGGGCUAAGUUCGUGCCAGCAGCCGCGGUAAGACGAACCGUGCGAACGUUGUUCGGAAUCACUGGGCUUAAAGGGCGCGUAGGCGGUCCCCCCAGUCCGGGGUGAAAGCGUCCGGCUCAACCGGACCAGGGCCUUGGAUACUGGGGGACUCGAGGGAGGUAGGGGCAGGUGGAACUUCCGGUGGAGCGGUGAAAUGCGUUGAUAUCGGAAGGAACGCCGGUGGCGAAAGCGGCCUGCUGGACCUCUGUCUGACGCUGAGGCGCGAAAGCUAGGGGAGCGAACGGGAUUAGAUACCCCGGUAGUCCUAGCCCUAAACGAUGGGUACCAGGUUGUGGACCGGACAUGGGUUUCCCAGCCGGAGCAAAAGUGUUCAGUACCCCGCCUGGGGAGUAUGGUCGCAAGGCUGAAACUCAA
rnacentral:rRNA from 1 species